rnacentral:rRNA from 1 species
UACGUAGGGGGCAAGCGUUGUCCGGAUUUAUUGGGCGUAAAGAGCGUGUAGGCGGCUAGAUAGGUCCGUUGUGAAAACUCGAGGCUCAAUCUCGAGCCGUCGAUGGAAACCAUCUGGCUAGAGUCCGGAAGAGGAGAGUGGAAUUCCUGGUGUAGCGGUGAAAUGCGCAGAUAUCAGGAAGAACACCCGUGGCGAAGGCGGCUCUCUGGUACGUGACUGACGCUGAGACGCGAAAGCGUGGGGAGCAAACAGG